rnacentral:rRNA from 1 species
CAGUAGCCACGGGAAUACGGAGGGUGCAAGCGUUAAUCGGAAUUACUGGGCGUAAAGCGUGCGUAGGCGGUUCGUUAAGUCUGUUGUGAAAGCCCCGGGCUCAACCUGGGAAUGGCAAUGGAUACUGGCGAGCUAGAGUGUGUCAGAGGAUGGUGGAAUUCCCGGUGUAGCGGUGAAAUGCGUAGAGAUCGGGAGGAACAUCAGUGGCGAAGGCGGCCAUCUGGGACAACACUGACGCUGAGGCACGAAAGCGUGGGGAGCAAACAGGAUUAGAUACCCCUGUAGUCCCUGUCUCUUAUAA